UGGGGAAUUUUGGACAAUGGGGGAAACCCUGAUCCAGCCAUCCCGCGUGUGCGAUGAAGGCCUUCGGGUUGUAAAGCACUUUUGGCAGGAAACAAACGUCAUGGGUUAAUACCCCGUGAAACUGACGGUACCUGCAGAAUAAGCACCGGCUAACUACGUGCCAGCAGCCGCGGUAAUACGUAGGGUGCAAGCGUUAAUCGGAAUUACUGGGCGUAAAGCGUGCGCAGGCGGUUCGGAAAGAAAGAUGUGAAAUCCCAGAGCUCAACUUUGGAACUGCAUUUUUAACUACCGGGCUAGAGUGUGUCAGAGGGAGGUGGAAUUCCGCGUGUAGCAGUGAAAUGCGUAGAUAUGCGGAGGAACACCGAUGGCGAAGGCAGCCUCCUGGGAUAACACUGACGCUCAUGCACGAAAGCGUGGGGAGCAAACAGG
rnacentral:rRNA from 1 species